UACGGGGGGGGCAAGCGUUGUUCGGAAUUACUGGGCGUAAAGGGUUCGUAGGUGGCCGACUAAGUCAAACGUGAAAUCCCUCAGCUUAACUGGGGAACUGCGUCUGAUACUGGUCGGCUCGAGUGCAGGAGAGGAACGCGGAAUUCCAGGUGUAGCGGUGAAAUGCGUAGAUAUCAUGAGGAAUACCAGAGGCGAAGGCGGCUACCUGGACAAUUGCUGACGCUCAGGCACGAAAGCGUGGGGAGCAAAAGGG
rnacentral:rRNA from 1 species